rnacentral:rRNA from 1 species
AUGGCGCCCGCCAAGUGGCUGAUGCACUGGCACCCGAACCCUGGGGUGACGCUCAACACCCAGAUCCUGUCGGAGGCCUGCGGCUGCGCGGAGUCCCUCGGCGGCACCAAGGACGGCCGCUGGAAGACCUCCAUCAUCUUCUACCGCCCGAUGACGCGGGACGGCCCGGGCGGGGCGCAGCAGAACCUGCCCCCCGACGUGCCCCGCGAGCUCCUCGGCGUCGCGCUCCACGAGCGCCCCGGGCUCUACUUCUCCAUCCUCCGGAACCAGCGCCUCGUCCUGCAGGCGGACGCCGCCUUCUCCCAGGUCAUGGAGAAGCUCCAGUCCUUCAAGGCCCGCGUCAACCUCAACUUCGAGGGAUUCCAGUAUCAACUGGGCGAUUUUUGCUUGAGGAUAGGAAAAUGUGUUCCUAACAAUACUGAAACCCUAAGAGGAAUCAUGAUGGAGGUAGAGUAUUACCCCCUGUCUUCCAUCGAAAAGUCCAGGGCAAUUAUGGUAGACUUCUUUGACAUAUGGCAGGAAACACUCGCAAAGAAGUCGCUCCCUGGUCGAUUCAUCCAUGUAGAAUCUAAUUUUGCAGAGUAUGGCCUUUCAGACCACUACUCUUUCCAGCACACGGCAGUUCAGUACGCUACUUGCUUGCAACAACUCAUGGCAGCUGUGAGGGCUUAG